rnacentral:rRNA from 1 species
AGCGGGGAUCAGAUUCUUAAUGAAUUGGCGGGGGGCCCGCACAAGCGGAGGAACAUGUGGUUUAAUUCGAUGAUACGCGAGGAACCUUACCCGGGCUUGAAAUGCGUCUGACAGUCGGAGAGAUCCGAUCUCCCUUCGGGGCAGACGUGUAGGUGCUGCAUGGUUGUCGUCAGCUCGUGCCGUGAGGUGUCGGCUUAAGUGCCAUAACGAGCGCAACCCUCAUCGUUAGUUGCCAUCAGGUAGUGCUGGGGACUCUAACGAGACUGCCAUCGUAAGAUGCGAGGAAGGUGGGGAUGACGUCAAAUCAGCACGGCCCUUACGUCCGGGGCGACACACGUGUUACAAUGGGUGGUACAAAGGGCAGCUACAUGGCGUCAUGAUGCCAAUCCCCAAAACCACUCUCAGUUCGGAUCGGAGUCUGCAACUCGACUCCGUGAAGCUGGAUUCGCUAGUAAUCGCGCAUCAGCCACGGCGCGGUGAAUACGUUCCCGCCCUUUGCACACACCGCCCGAAUCU